rnacentral:lncRNA from 1 species
AUCCAGCCAGUCAGGUAUUUAGCUUACUCCACUCCUCGCGGCGCCCCUGCAGCCAACACAAUCAUCAUGAGACAAUGUCUGGUAUCUUCUUGUAGGAAAUGGAAAAAGCAAAGAAAGAAAUAGCAGAUGCAAUUGCCAACAAGACUAUACUCACUUUCAUAUGAUCUGAAACAAGAAAAAUUUGCAAGGGGCAUGAAGGGGAGAAGGAUUGAGAGAAGCUCACCUUGACAUCUUCCAAGAUCCUCCCGUGUGCACCAUCUUCAGCCGUCAGGAUCUCAUCCAUGAAGAUGCUGCUUUUCCCUAUCUCCGACCUCUCCUCCACCCCGUGAGGCGUCCGCUGCCUGGUCUUCGGCCUCGCUGCUCCACCCCACACCGCUGGCCUCUUGGCCCUCCCCUGCUCUCUCCCAUCCAACGCCGUGCCUGGAUCGACCGGGGCGGAAAAUAACCUGAUAUGACAAGUCAAGUUGGAAUAAGAUAAUAUAGCAUUCCCCCAAAAUUAAGGUAUAGACAAACUCUGGAAACAUGCAGGAUUCAUGGAGACGUCUCCCCUGAAAUAUAUAAGCACGCCCAAAUGUAUGCAUAAAAAAGAAACUGCUAAAUUUUGAGAGGUAUGAUACCAUCAUCGACAAGAAAUGUGUGUCCCACCCCCUAACACAGUUGAAAUAUUACUUCCAGUGUGCAGUGAAGUUGCCAACGAUAAUAUCAGAUCUCAAAUAUAGCUACUUCCAUUCCUUGAACCUUACAUGCAUGUAAAAUUAACUUCCUCUCAGUAGCAGAACAUAUAAACAACUUAAACAUAAAGUGGAAAGUAACCUGCAAUGCCACGCAGCAUAUAUUGUUGCUCCAUGACCACUGCCUAAAAAAGGACUUCCCGGUUCAGUGUUGCAGGUCCUCUUAUAUGUCACCAAGAGGAGGAAGGACACCUAGCCCUGCAAAUGGAAGCAAAUUCAUAAUGUUGCAUGUCACCUUUCAAGGGAUAAAAAGAGCAAAAAUCGAUUAUAUGUCGUUCCUAAGUCAUUUGGCCAUUUCAGCUAGACAGUGCGGCACGAUAGAUGAUCCAAACAACAUGGGACAAUAGUUGAUUCAACAACUGGAGAUGUCUUUAGCGGGUCUCUGCGCCAUUUGGUUAUUCCUUGGAUGAAACCUAUUGUUGUAUCACCCAGCCUAGUACCAAUUCUUGUCGCAACAACAAUCUCACCCAAUCCUCCUUCAAGAGGAUACACAAAGGAUAUCAGGACACCAAAUUGUGUGUGUUGUAACCAGGAACCUUAAUUUAGCAGCACUUUGUACAGCUGCAACUUGGUGUCAUGAACUAAAUUAGUGCAUUACUUACACAACAGAUAUCAGAUUAAGUAGAAGUCGAUAGAAAUUAGCAGAAGUGGGCAACAAAAAUCAGCAGCCCAUCACCUUGCAAUAUAGAACAUACUUUCGCCGACCAUCAUAGAUCAUACCGCUAAACAACAAUGUGCAUCGUCCGUCCACUUGAAUGAUUAUUUUUCAACAAAACAAAAGCACACAUAGAGCACCAAUUAGAAGGGAUCUUGUAUGGCAACAAAAAAACCAUUUAGCCAUUCAUCGCCUGCUUACAUGGUACAUAGGCAUUUAGGCUACACAAAUCUUGUAGAUGUGUGUGUGCAGGGAGAGAGAGAGAGAGAGAGAGAGAG